UACAAUGGAGAGUUUGAUCCUGGCUCAGGAUGAACGCUAGCGGCAGGCUUAAUACAUGCAAGUCGAGGGGCAGCAUGGUGUAGCAAUACACUGAUGGCGACCGGCAAACGGGUGCGGAACACGUACACAACCUUCCUCAGAGCGGGGGAUAGCCCAGAGAAAUUUGGAUUAAUACCCCAUAGGAUAGUGGAACGGCAUCGUUCAGCUAUUAAAGAUUUAUCACUUUGAGAUGGGUGUGCGGCUGAUUAGGUAGUUGGCGGGGUAACGGCCCACCAAGCCCACGAUCAGUAACUGGUGUGAGAGCAUGACCAGUCACACGGGCACUGAGACACGGGCCCGACUCCUACGGGAGGCAGCAGUAAGGAAUAUUGGACAAUGGACGAGAGUCUGAUCCAGCCAUGCCGCGUGGAGGAUGAAGGUCCUCUGGAUUGUAAACUUCUUUUAUCUGGGACGAAAAAAGGCGAUUCCUCGUCACUUGACGGUACCAGAUGAAUAAGCACCGGCUAACUCCGU
rnacentral:rRNA from 1 species